UCCACACACACACACUCAGCACUUCCUGUCUCUGCAGCUGGAUGCUGCAGGCAUCAGAACGAGAGGAUUUCCUUCACCCAUAGCCCUCCCCCUAGCUUGUUUGGUCCCAGACUUCCCACCACACAGUGGAGAUAGGACUGUCCCUCCUGCCACCCUUGUCUGGACCAGCUCUCCCCCUUCCCCUUCACUCCAGCGGGAGAUGUGGGGAGCCGGCAGCCUCGCUUAUUAUUAGCAAACGAUGGUGAAUCCCCCCCGCCCAGCUUUGAGGCAAACCAAGGGGCACAUUGAUCCCGGAGCCGGUUGUUUGCUCUGGAGCAAGAAAUGAUGCGAGGCGGAGAGCUGGGAACAACCCGCCUGAGAGGAGAGGCGGCGGGCCGAAGGGCUGCACAAUCGUGUCCGCCGCUACUCCAGCUGCCAAGCUCUCGUUACGCGGUGCCAUUCAUAACUCGAGAUGCCAUUUAUGAGGAUUAAAAAAAAAAAAUCCACGCA